rnacentral:rRNA from 1 species
UACGUAGGGUGCAAGCGUUGUUCGGAUUUAUUGGGCGUAAAGGGUGCGUAGGUGGCAAAGUAAGUUGGAUGUGAAAUCCUGGGGCUUAACCUCAGAAUUGCAUUCAAUACUGCUUAGCUAGAGAGCUGUAGAGGAGACUGGAAUUUACGGUGUAGCAGUGAAAUGCGUAGAUAUCGUAAGGAACGCCAGUGGCGAAAGCGAGUCUCUGGGCAGCAUCUGACACUGAGGCACGAAGGCCAGGGGAGCAAACGGG